CGAUGAACCUCACUUGUGGGGGGAUUAGUGGCGAACGGGUGAGUAACACGUGAGUAACCUGCCCUUGACUCUGGGAUAAGCCUGGGAAACCGGGUCUAAUACUGGAUACGACCUUCUGGCGCAUGCCAUGUUGGUGGAAAGCUUUUGUGGUUUUGGAUGGACUCGCGGCCUAUCAGCUUGUUGGUGGGGUAAUGGCCUACCAAGGCGACGACGGGUAGCCGGCCUGAGAGGGUGACCGGCCACACUGGGACUGAGACACGGCCCAGACUCCUACGGGAGGCAGCAGUGGGGAAUAUUGCACAAUGGGCGCAAGCCUGAUGCAGCGACGCCGCGUGAGGGAUGAAGGCCUUCGGGUUGUAAACCUCUUUCAGUAGGGAAGAAGCCGGCCUUUUGGGUUGGUGACGGUACCUGCAGAAGAAGCGCCGGCUAACUACGUGCCAGCAGCCGCGGUAAUACGUAGGGCGCAAGCGUUAUCCGGAAUUAUUGGGCGUAAAGAGCUCGUAGGCGGUUUGUCGCGUCUGCCGUGAAAGUCCGGGGCUUAACCCCGGAUCUGCGGUGGGUACGGGCAGACUAGAGUGCAGUA
rnacentral:rRNA from 1 species